rnacentral:rRNA from 1 species
UGGGGAAUUUUGGACAAUGGGCGAAAGCCUGAUCCAGCAAUGCCGCGUGUGUGAAGAAGGCCUUCGGGUUGUAAAGCACUCUUGUCCGGAAAGAAAACGCCGUGGUUAAUACACGUGGCGGAUGACGGUAUCGGAAGAAUAAGCACCGGCUCACUACGUGCCAGCAGCAGCGGUAAUACGAAGGGUGCAAGCGUUAAUCGGAAUUACUGGGAGUAAAGCGUGCGCGGGCGGUCCGCUAAGACAGAUGUGAAAUCACCGGGCUUAACCUGGGAACUGCAUUUGUAACUGGCGGGCUAGAGUAUGGCAGAGGGGGGUAGAAUUCCACGUGUAGCAGUGAAAUGCGUAGAGAUGUGGCGGAAUACCGAUGGCGAAGGCAGCCCCCUGGGCCAAUACUAACGCUCAUGCACGAAAGCGUGUGGAGCAAACAGG